rnacentral:misc_RNA from 1 species
GAAAUGCGAUAAGUAAUGUGAAUUGCAGAAUUCCGUGAAUCAUCGAAUCUUUGAACGCACAUUGCGCCCUCUGGUAUUCCGGGGGGCAUGCCUGUCCGAGCGUCAUUGCGAACCCCUCAAGCACGGCUUGUGUGAUGGGCCCUCCCGCGUCUUGGUCGUCAAGACGGGCCCGAAAUGCAGUGGCGGCUUCGCGGUUAUCCGAUCAGCCAGAGCGUAUGGGGCUUUGUCACCCGCUCCCGUAGGUCCAGCUGGCAGCUAGCCUCGCAACCAAUCUUUUUAACCAGGUUGACCUCGGAUCAGGUAGGGAUGCCCGCUGAACUUAAGC